UAUCGAUGCAAAAUUACUCAAUAAAGUUC
rnacentral:piRNA from 1 species